AACGAACGCUGGCGGCAGGCUUAACACAUGCAAGUCGAGCGCCCCGCAAGGGGAGCGGCCGACGGGUGAGUAACGCGUGGGAACGUACCUUUUGGUUCGGAACAACUCCGGGAAACUGGAGCUAAUACCGGAUAAGCCCUAACGGGGAAAGAUUUAUCGCCGAAAGAUCGGCCCGCGUCUGAUUAGCUAGUUGGUGAGGUAACGGCUCACCAAGGCGACGAUCAGUAGCUGGUCUGAGAGGAUGAUCAGCCACACUGGGACUGAGACACGGCCCAGACUCCUACGGGAGGCAGCAGUGGGGAAUAUUGGACAAUGGGCGCAAGCCUGAUCCAGCCAUGCCGCGUGAGUGAUGAAGGCCUUAGGGUUGUAAAGCUCUUUUGUCCGGGAAGAUAAUGACUGUACCGGAAGAAUAAGCCCCGGCUAACUUCG
rnacentral:rRNA from 1 species